AAUAUUAUAUUGCAAUUGUUAUUAAUGAUUUGAAGAUGAACAUAACCCCAAUAUAUAGUUUCAUAAUGGUGUUGACAUUUGUUGGGAAACUUUAUCAUUUUCCUGAGAAAACUUAAGGAAGCAUUUGGAAAGAAGAACUGGAUAGUAAGUGCAACCGUUCUAUCUGAUCCAGAAGAAAACAGUUACGAUCCACCAAAAUUGAAUGAGAUUGUCGAUUACAUCACUGUGGAAUCAUACGAUAUGUACGGACCAUGGAGUAAUCACACUGGAAAUCAUAAUGCUUUAUAUCCCUCCUCAAAACAAUCUCAGUGGGAAAAAAGUCAUCUCAACAUGAAUGCGGUUGCUAAUAACUGGAUAAAAGCAGGCAUCAAUAGAAACAAAUUAGUUUUGAGCAUCGCCUUUCAUAGUUUAUCGUUCACGCUCAAGGAUAAAAACCAACAUUCAACAUAUUCUCCAGUUGAGGGCCAACUAGUUGGGGUGCUGAGGUAUUCCGAGAUUUGUUCAAACUAUACCGAUUUUACCGAAGUAUGGGAUAAUGACCAGAAAUCGCCGUACAAAUAUAAAGACGAUCAGUGGUUUGCAUACAAUUCAAAAGAAGCUGUUUCAA